AGAUGUGAGAGCAAUCUGGCCAAGACAUCUGUCACCCUUUGUUCGUCAGCACUGACUGCACGGAUCUGCCUGGUGAGGCAGAUGCCCCCCUCUUGCCCCACAGCUCCCUGUGUAGCCUCCUCUGAGGCCUCACAUGUGGACAAGCUGCCAGCAAACAGGAGGGGAGGCCAUGGACUUGGCUAAGAGAGACUAUCGAGUAAGAGGAGAGAGGGCCUGGGACUCCUUACCGGGAAACCCUAACAUUAAAAUAUCCAGGGGUGAGGGUGAGCUCAGAGGAAGCAGAGAGAUAAAUGU
rnacentral:sRNA from 1 species